UAUUCAUUAGCCGGGCAGGUGUAUUCAUUAGCCGGUCAGGUGUAUUCAUUAGCCGGUCAGGUGGUCAGGUGUAUUGAUUAGUCGGUCAGGUGUAUUCAUUAGCCGGUCAGGUGUAUUCAUUAGCCGGGCAGGUGUAUUCAUUAGCCGGUCAGGUGGUCAGGUGUAUUGAUUAGCCGGUCAGGUGUAUUGAUUAGCCGGUCAGGUGUAUUGAUUAGCCGGUCAGGUGGU